GAUGAAGAACGUAGCGAAAUGCGAUAAGUAAUGCGAAUUGCAGAAUUUCCGUGAGUCAUCGAAUCUUUGAACGCACAUUGCGCCCUUCGGUAUUCCGUUGGGCAUGCCUGUUCGAGCGUCAUUUAAACCUUCAAGCAUAGCUUGGUGUUGGGUGCUUGUCCUCCCCCUGGGUGGACUCACCUCAAAUGCAUUGGCGGCCGGUAUGUUGGCUUCGAGCGCAGUAGAACGCGCCUGGCGUCUUGACGUACUGGUCCUCCACAAGAUCUUCUUUUAUCUUGACCUCGGAUCAGGUAGGGAUACCCGCUGAACUUAAGCAUAUCAAUAAGCGGAGGA
rnacentral:misc_RNA from 1 species